UACAGAGGUCUCGAGCGUUGUUCGGAUUCAUUGGGCGUAAAGGGUGCGUAGGUGGCACUGUAAGUCGGGUGUGAAAUCCUGAGGCUUAACCUCGGAACUGCAUUCGAUACUGCGGUGCUUGAGGACUGGAGAGGAGACUGGAAUUCAUGGUGUAGCAGUGAAAUGCGUAGAGAUCAUGAGGAAGACCAGUGGCGAAGGCGGGUCUCUGGGCAGUAACUGACGCUGAGGAGCGAAAGCGUGGGGAGCGAACAGG
rnacentral:rRNA from 1 species